UUAAGUGACUAAGCGUACAUGGUGGAUGCCUUGGCAGUCAGAGGCGAUGAAGGACGUACUAACCUGCGAUAAGCUGUGAGAAGUCGGUAAGAGACGCUAUUACUCACAGAUUUCCGAAUGGGGAAACCCACCCGAGAUAACUCGGGUAUCUGUUACUGAAUACAUAGGUAACAGAGGCGAACCGGGAGAACUGAAACAUCUAAGUACCCCGAGGAAAAGAAAUCAACCGAGAUUCCCUCAGUAGCGGCGAGCGAACGGGGAUUAGCCCUUAAGCAUCUUGGAAGUUAGUGGAACGGUCCUGGAAAGGCCGGCGAUACAGGGUGAUAGCCCCGUACACGAAAACAACCUUGAUGUGAAAUCGAGUAGGGCGGGACACGUGACAUCCUGUCUGAAUAUGGGGGGACCAUCCUCCAAGGCUAAAUACUCCUGACUGACCGAUAGUGAACCAGUACCGUGAGGGAAAGGCGAAAAGAACCCCUGUGAGGGGAGUGAAAUAGAACCUGAAACCGUGUACGUACAAGCAGUGGGAGCCCUUCGGGGUGACUGCGUACCUUUUGUAUAAUGGGUCAGCGACUUACAUUUUGUAGCGAGGUUAACCGUAUAGGGGAGCCGUAGGGAAACCGAGUCUUAACUGGGCGUCUAGUUGCAAGGUGUAGACCCGAAACCGGGUGAUCUAGCCAUGGGCAGGUUGAAGGUUGAGUAACAUCAACUGGAGGACCGAACCCACUAACGUUGCAAAGUUAGGGGAUGACCUGUGGCUGGGGGUGAAAGGCCAAUCAAACUCGGAGAUAGCUGGUUCUCCCCGAAAGCUAUUUAGGUAGCGCCUCGGACGAAUACUACUGGGGGUAGAGCACUGUUUGGGCUAGGGGGUCAUCCCGACUUACCAACCCCAUGCAAACUCCGAAUACCAGUAAGUAAUAUCCGGGAGACACACGGCGGGUGCUAACGUCCGUCGUGAAGAGGGAAACAACCCAGACCGCCGGCUAAGGUCCCAAAGUUCUGGUUAAGUGGGAAACGAUGUGGGAAGGCUCAGACAGCUAGGAUGUUGGCUUAGAAGCAGCCAUCAUUUAAAGAAAGCGUAAUAGCUCACUAGUCGAGUCGGCCUGCGCGGAAGAUGUAACGGGGCUCAAACCAGGCACCGAAGCCGCGGAUUUGCACUUAGUGCAAGUGGUAGGGGAGCGUUCUGUAAGUCUGCGAAGGUGUAUCGAGAGGUAUGCUGGAGAUAUCAGAAGUGCGAAUGCUGACGUAAGUAACGAUAAAGGGGGUGAAAAGCCUCCUCGCCGGAAGACCAAGGGUUCCUGUCCAACGUUAAUCGGGGCAGGGUGAGUCGACCCCUAAGGCGAGGCCGAAAGGCGUAGUCGAUGGGAAGCAGGUUAAUAUUCCUGCACGACUUGUAAUUGCGAUGGGGGGACGGAGAAGGCUAGGUGGGCCAGGCGACGGUUGUCCUGGUGAAAGUGCGUAGGUGGUGUUUCCAGGCAAAUCCGGAGACACAACACUGAGACACGAGACGAACGCACUACGGUGCGGAAGCCAUUGAUGCCCUGCUUCCAGGAAAAGCCUCUAAGCUUCAGAUUACAAGUCAUCGUACCCCAAACCGACACAGGUGGUCGGGUAGAGAAUACCAAGGCGCUUGAGAGAACUCGGGUGAAGGAACUAGGCAAAAUAGAACCGUAACUUCGGGAGAAGGUUCGCUCUUGAUGGUGAAGUCCCUUGCGGAUGGAGCUGUCGGGAGUCGCAGUGACCAGAUGGCUGGGACUGUUUAUCAAAAACACAGCACUCUGCAAACACGAAAGUGGACGUAUAGGGUGUGACACCUGCCCGGUGCCGGAAGGUUAAUUGAUGGGGUUAGCGCAAGCGAAGCUCUUGAUCGAAGCCCCGGUAAACGGCGGCCGUAACUAUAACGGUCCUAAGGUAGCGAAAUUCCUUGUCGGGU
rnacentral:rRNA from 1 species